UACGGAGGGUGCAAGCGUUAUCCGGAUUCACUGGGUUUAAAGGGUGCGUAGGCGGGCAGGUAAGUCCGUGGUGAAAUCUCUGAGCUUAACUCAGAAACUGCCAUGGAUACUAUUUGUCUUGAAUAUUGUGGAGGUGAGCGGAAUAUGUCAUGUAGCGGUGAAAUGCUUAGAUAUGACAUAGAACACCAAUUGCGAAGGCAGCUCACUACACAGUCAUUGACGCUGAGGCACGAAAGCGUGGGGAUCAAACAGG
rnacentral:rRNA from 1 species